UCCCUAACGAAAAGAUACUGUGAACACGCCAUGAGUGCAUUGAAGCAAAUGUAGUUGAUCGUCUGACAAAUCUGGAAGGAUUAUGGCUGCCCGAAUCCUUCUAUAGAGAAUGAGACUUUGUUAAAGAGCAUAAUCGUCCUUAGUAGAAUCUAGGGAAACACGUUCGAUUGUUCUCAUUCGCACUAUAACAUUCAGUCUAAAGUAUUAUUCUGAAAGGUAUGUUUUGUAAAUUGCAGCAAAGUGAAAGAAGGUCAUAAUCAAUAAAUAUCGAAAAAUUAGAUAAAGUUUUAUAAAAUUAUGCGCCCAUCCAAGUCGAUGACCUAUUUAAAUGAGAAUCCAAAGAACUCGUUUUAACUUAACGCCGUAUAGCGUGCACAUCUGAAAAGAGAAGCCUUUGGUGUGAUACAAAAUGUAAUAAAAGCUCUGCCAACAGUUUCAACGUCAUUUUGGAUUAUCAGUAUGAAUGAAUAACUUUGUAUAAUCUGCAAUAAGAACGAUGAUAAGCAAAUGUAUAAAGUAAAAUUAAUAGAAGAAAAGAAUCGAAAAUAAAUACAAAUAAUUUGGGACCUUAACAUCAGCAUUCAUUCAACGAAAUUGUCAAAGUUAAUAUAAGGUUUGUUCUAGCAUCAGUUUCAAACGGUUUGAAACCAUCAGCCAAUAGUGGACCAGCGCGAGUAGAGGGGAUAGCACUGGUGACUGUAUUAUGUU